CCUACGGGAGGCAGCAGUGGGGAAUAUUGGGCAAUGGAGGAAACUCUGACCCAGCGACGCCGCGUGCGGGAUGAAGGCCUUCGGGUUGUAAACCGCUUUCAGUAGGGAAGAAGCGAAAGUGACGGUACCUACAGAAGAAGCACCGGCUAACUAUGUGCCAGCAGCCGCGGUAAUACAUAGGGUGCAAGCGUUGUCCGGAAUUAUUGGGCGUAAAGAGCUCGUAGGUGGUUCGUCACGUCGGAUGUGAAAAUCUGGGGCUCAACCCCAGACCUGCAUUCGAUACGGGCGAUCUAGAGUGUGGUAGGGGAGACUGGAAUUCCUGGUGUAGCGGUGGAAUGCGCAGAUAUCAGGAGGAACACCAAUGGCGAAGGCAGGUCUCUGGGCCAUUACUGACACUGAGGAGCGAAAGCGUGGGGAGCGAACAGGAUUAGAUACCCUGGUAGUCCACGCCGUAAACGGUGGGCACUAGUUGUGGGAACCUUCCACGGUUUCUGCGACGCAGCUAACGCAUUAAGUGCCCCGCCUGGGGAGUACAAUCGCAAGAUUAAAACUCAAAAGGAAUUGACGG
rnacentral:rRNA from 1 species